rnacentral:rRNA from 1 species
AGAACGAACGCUGGCGGCAUGCCUAACACAUGCAAGUCGAACGCUUUUGGGGCUUCGGUCCCAAAGGAGUGGCGCACGGGUGAGUAGCGCGUGGGAACCUGCCCUGUUGUGGGGGAUAACCGAGGGAAACUUCGGCUAAUACCGCAUACGCCCGGGGGAAACUCCGGGGAAAGAUUUAUCGCAGCAGGAGGGGCCCGCGUCGGAUUAGGUAGUUGGUGGGGUAACGGCCCACCAAGCCUGUGAUCCGUAGCUGGUCUGAGAGGAUGAUCAGCCACACUGGGACUGAGACACGGCCCAGACUCCUACGGGAGGCAGCAGUGGGGAAUAUUGGACAAUGGGCGCAAGCCUGAUCCAGCAAUGCCGCGUGAGUGAUGAAGGCCUUCGGGUUGUAAAGCUCUUUCGCACGCGACGAUGAUGACGGUAGCGGUGAGAAGAAGCCCCGGCUAACUUCGUGCCAGCAGCCGA